AUUCCAGCUCCAAUAGCGUAUAUUUAAGUUGUUGCAGUUAAAGAGCUCGUAGUUGGAUCUUGGGUCGUAAGGGUCGGUCCGCCUACUCGGUGUGCACCUGCCCUUCCGUCCCUUUUGUCGGCGGCGUGCUCCUGGCCUUAAUUGGCUGGGUCGCGGUUCCGGCGCUGUUACUUUGAAAAAAUUAGAGUGCUCAAAGCAAGCUUAUGCUCUGAAUACAUUAGCAUGGAAUAACGUGAUAGGAGUCUGGUCCUAUUGUGUUGGCCUUCGGGACCGGAGUAAUGAUUAAUAGGGACUGUCGGGGGCAUUCGUAUUUCAUUGUCAGAGGUGAAAUUCUUGGAUUUAUGAAAGACGGACCACUGCGAAAGCAUUUGCCAAGGAUGUUUUCAUUG
rnacentral:rRNA from 1 species